UAUUAUUAUAUUAGUAUCGUUGUCGAAUGCCAUUGUAAGUAUAAUCUUUUCGAUUGUGAAACGACGACGGACCGCGAAUUUCCCUAAAACCGUCCGUAAUAUAGGUUUAUAAUAAUAUACCAGCUACGAACACCCGGAAUCGCGUCCGGUAACCUUCCGACGGACUAUGUCCGUGUACACGAUGACGCCGAGCCAUGUUCCGA